CCUACGGGCGACAGCAGUGGGGAAUAUUGGGCAAUGGGCGCGAGCCUGACCCAGCAAAGCCGCGUGAAGGAAGACGGCUCUACGGUUGUAAACUUCUUUUAAGAGAGAAGUGCAGAAGACGGUACCUCUUGAAUAAGACACGGCUAACUACGUGCCAGCAGCCGAGGUCAUACGUAGGUGGCAAGCGUUGUCCGGAUUUACUGGGUGUAACGGGCGUGCAGCUGGGAAGACAAGUCAGAUGUGAAAUCUCGCGGCUCAACCGUGGAAUUGCAUUUGAAACUGUUUUUCUUGAGUACCGUAGAGGUCAGCGGAAUGCGUGGUGUAGCGGUGAAAUGCGUAGAUAUAAGGAAGAACACCAGUGGCGAAGGCAGAUGACUAGACGGCAACUGACAGUGAUGCGCGAAAGCGUGGGGAUCAAACAGGAUUAGAUACCCCAGUAGUC
rnacentral:rRNA from 1 species